rnacentral:tRNA from 1 species
GGGCAGGAAGCUCAGUUGGUAGAGUAACGGACUGAAAAUCCGUGUGUCGGUGGUUCAAAUCCGUCACUGCCCA